rnacentral:rRNA from 1 species
UCAGAGGGGGGUAGAAUNCCACGUGUAGCAGUGAAAUGCGUAGAGAUGUGGAGGAAUACCGAUGGCGAAGGCAGCCCCCUGGGAUAACACUGACGUUCAUGCUCGAAAGCGUGGGUAGCAAACAGGAUUAGAUACCCUGGUAGUNCACGCCCUAAACGAUGUCAAUUAGCUGUUGGGCAACUUGAUUGCUUAGUAGCGUAGCUAACGCGUGAAAUUGACCGCCUGGGGAGUACGGUCGCAAGAUUAAAACUCAAAGGAAUUGACGGGGACCCGCACAAGCGGUGGAUGAUGUGGAUUAAUUCGAUGCAACGCGAAGAACCUUACCUGGUCUUGACAUGUACGGAAUCUCUCAGAGACGGGAGAGUGCCUUCGGGAGCCGUAACACAGGUGCUGCAUGGCUGUCGUCAGCUCGUGUCGUGAGAUGUUGGGUUAAGUCCCGCAACGAGCGCAACCCUUGUCAUUAGUUGCCAUCAUUGAGUUGGGCACUCUAAUGAGACUGCCGGUGACAAACCGGAGGAAGGAGGGGAUGACGUCAAGUCCUCAUGGCCCUUAUGACCAGGGCUUCACACGUCAUACAAUGGUCGGUACAGAGGGUUGCCAAGCCGCGAGGUGGAGCCAAUCUCACAAAACCGAUCGUAGUCCGGAUUGCACUCUGCAACUCGAGUGCAUGAAGUCGGAAUCGCUAGUAAUCGCAGGUCAGCAUACUGCGGUGAAUACGUUCCCGGGUCUUGUACACACCGCCCGUCACACCAUGGGAGUGGGGGAUACC